ensembl:lncRNA
CAGUUACUGAGCUGAGGUCUGCAGUGCGCUGCAAGGCCACAAACAGAACAACAGACAGCUGUGCUGGGUCACUCUGCUGCUAAUUAACACCAACUUUGACCAAAAGAGGAUGCAAUGUAACUUUGUCAACUGUGCCUCGAAGUGAGGUUCAAAGCUCACCCAUUCUAAGUGUGUGUCACCUGGAGUUAACCAAGCUGAAAUGAAGACUGACCAGGUAAAGGAACGCCAACUUAUUGCCAGUGGGAGGUCGAGUAUUUACCUGAAUGUGGAAGCACUCUCCCGGACAUUUCAGAGCAAUCAGGUGAAUGCGGCCAUAUUAUCCUCUGCUGGAAGUAUGAAUAGAGAAACACACUUCUGAUUCAUCACUGAACACCAUGGAGUUGCUC